rnacentral:rRNA from 1 species
UGCUCCUUUGACGUUAGCGGCGGACGGGUGAGUAACACGUGGAUAACCUACCUAUAAGACUGGGAUAACUUCGGGAAACCGGAGCUAAUACCGGAUAAGAUUUUGAACCGCAUGGUUCAAUAGUGAAAGACGGCCUUGCUGUCACUUAUAGAUGGAUCCGCGCCGUAUUAGCUAGUUGGUAAGGUAACGGCUUACCAAGGCAACGAUACGUAGCCGACCUGAGAGGGUGAUCGGCCACACUGGAACUGAGACACGGUCCAGACUCCUACGGGAGGCAGCAGUAGGGAAUCUUCCGCAAUGGGCGAAAGCCUGACGGAGCAACGCCGCGUGAGUGAUGAAGGUCUUCGGAUCGUAAAACUCUGUUAUCAGGGAAGAACAAACGUGUAAGUAACUGUGCACGUCUUGACGGUACCUGAUCAGAAAGCCACGGCUAACUACGUGCCAGCAGCCGCGGUAAUACGUAGGUGGCAAGCGUUAUCCGGAAUUAUUGGGCGUAAAGCGCGCGUAGGCGGUUUUUUAAGUCUGAUGUGAAAGCCCACGGCUCAACCGUGGAGGGUCAUUGGAAACUGGAAAACUUGAGUGCAGAAGAGGAAAGUGGAAUUCCAUGUGUAGCGGUGAAAUGCGCAGAGAUAUGGAGGAACACCAGUGGCGAAGGCGACUUUCUGGUCUGUAACUGACGCUGAUGUGCGAAAGCGUGGGGAUCAAACAGGAUUAGAUACCCUGGUAGUCCACGCCGUANACGAUGAGUGCUAAGUGUUAGGGGGUUUCCGCCCCUUU